CAACGAUUUUUCGUGCUUGCACGGAAAAGACGUUGACCUUGGUAACCGCCUAAUAUGAGGAAGAAGCGAUUUGUGCAACAAAUCUGCGGAUUCCGAAUAUUUUCGGAUUGCGAAAGCGGCUUUGCCGCGGAGCAAUCCGC
rnacentral:sRNA from 1 species